GGGUUGUGAGGUUAAGCGACCAAGCGUACACGGUGGAUGCCCUGGCAGUCAGAGGCGAUGAAGGACGUGCUAAUCUGCGAAAAGCGCCGGUAAGGUGAUAUGAACCGUUAUAACCGGCGAUGUCCGAAUGGGGAAACCCAGUGUGACUCGUCACACUAUCAUUAACUGAAUCCAUAGGUUAAUGAGGCGAACCGGGGGAACUGAAACAUCUAAGUACCCCGAGGAAAAGAAAUCAACCGAGAUUCCCCCAGUAGCGGCGAGCGAACGGGGAGCAGCCCAGAGCCUGAAUCAGCAUGUGUGUUAGUGGAAGCGUCUGGAAAGGCGCGCGAUACAGGGUGACAGCCCCGUACACAAAAGCGCAUAUGCUGUGAGCUCGAUGAGUAGGGCGGGACACGUGGUAUCCUGUCUGAAUAUGGGGGGACC
rnacentral:rRNA from 1 species